AUGAACGCUGGCGGCGUGCCUAAUACAUGCAAGUCGCGCGAACGGACGAGAAGCUUGCUUCUCUGAUGUUAGCGGCGGACGGGUGAGUAACACGUGGAUAACCUACCUAUAAGACUGGGAUAACUUCGGGAAACCGGAGCUAAUACCGGAUAAUAUUUUGAACCGCAUGGUUCAAAAGUGAAAGACGGUCUUGCUGUCACUUAUAGAUGGAUCCGCGCUGCAUUAGCUAGUUGGUAAGGUAACGGCUUACCAGGGCAACGAUGCAUAGCCGACCUGAGAGGGUGAUCGGCCACACUGGAACUGAGACACGGUCCAGACUCCUACGGGAGGCAGCAGUAGGGAAUCUUCCGCAAUGGGCGAAAGCCUGACGGAGCAACGCCGCGUGAGUGAUGAAGGUCUUCGGAUCGUAAAACUCUGUUAUUAGGGAAGAACAUAUGUGUAAGUAACUGUGCACAUCUUGACGGUACCUAAUCAGAAAGCCACGGCUAACUACGUG
rnacentral:rRNA from 1 species